rnacentral:rRNA from 1 species
AUUGCACAAUGGGGGAACCUGAUGCAGCUAUACCGCGUGUGUGAUGAAGGUCUUAGGAUUGUAAAACACUUUCAGCAAGGGAAAAAAUUAUAUAAAUAAUACUUAUAUUAACUGAUAUUACCUGCAAAAGAAGUACCGGCUAACCCCGUGCCAGCAGCCGCGGUAAUACGGAGGGUACAAGCGUUAAUCGGAAUUAUUGGGCGUAAAGAGUACGUAGGUGGUAUAUUAAGUCAGAUGUGAAAUACUUAAGCUUAACUUAAGAACUGCAUUUGAAACUAAUAAACUAGAGUUUUAUAGAGGGGAGUAGAAUUCCAAGUGUAGCGGUGAAAUGCGUAGAUAUUUGGAGGAAUACCAGAGGCGAAGGCGACUCCCUGGGUAAUAACUGACACUGAGGUACGAAAGCUUGGGGAGCAAACAGGAUUAGAUACCCUGGUAGUCCAUGCUGUAAACGAUGUCAAUUUGAAGAUUGUAAUAUUAUUAUUUUUUAUAGUUUUCGUAGCUAACGCAUUAAAUUGACCGCCUGGGGAUUACGACCGCAAGGUUAAAACUCAAAUGAAUUGACGGGGACCCGCACAAGCGGUGGAGCAUGUGGUUUAAUUCGAUACAACGCGAAAAACUUACUACUCUUGAACAUCUAUAAGUAAUAAAGCAGAAAUGUUUAGUAU